UAAAAAGUUUACAAACAUUUUAAACUUUUUAUAAAAAAUAUAAAUUUGUUAACUGUUUUUUAUUAGGUUGAUUUAACGUUUUUUAUUUAAAAAAAUUUGUAAAUUAUUUUUUUUAUUUUUAUUAAGUUUUACAAAAUUUAUUUUUAUUAAAAAAAAUAUAAGUUUUUAUUUUUAUUUUCCCUUUUUAAAUGUUUUAAUUAUUAUUUUUUAAAAUUCUAUUAAUUUAAUGUGUUUAAUUAGAUUAAUCAAGGGUUAGUUUUGGGAUUAUGAAAGAAAUUAUACUAAAAGGACAACUAAAUGAUAGUUUUAUACUAUAAGGACAACCAUGCUGAAUUUUUGUUCCGUUUUGGCAAUUUUCCCUAAAAUUAAUUAUGACCCCCACAAGAUUUAUUUUUGCCUCCGCCACUGCCACCGACCUAACUAUACAUCUACCUCUCUUCUUUUUUCCUUUUUUUUUCACGACAUAACUAUUCUUCAUGAUUCUUUACUAACAAUUCACCAUCAUUAAUUCUUUUGGUGAGACUAAACAGAACAACAAAGGUCAUAUACAAGAGAUUUGUCUGUGGUGGAAGACUCCGAACUGUGGAUCACCACCAUCACAAAACGCAUCCGCCAUCAUAAACUUGCAACGGCGAUAAGUUCUUGGAGAGUCUUCAAAAGCAUAUGUUUGGUCGAAUUCGAUUGGGUGUGGGAUUUAAAGGAGGAGAUGGUUGAUGGAGAAAUUUUAUAUUUUUCCAUCCGUUGGCUUCUCUUUUCUUUGUUCCAGCUCUUACUAAUGAUCCUUAUGUUAUGUUCUUCAGAGACAUCAAAUUCUUAUGGCGACAAUGCUGAACAAAAGUAGAAAGAAAGGCGAAAAAAUUAAUU